UCCUUCGGGGUAGGGUGGAAUUCCCAAUCGGCGGUGAUGAAGCAUUAGCUUCUAAGUCCGUGACCCGUGCGGUUUCAACAACCAAACGGUGGAUCUGGUGUGACUCCAGAGCCGACAGUUAAAGUCUGGAUGAGAGAAGGA
rnacentral:ncRNA from 1 species